rnacentral:rRNA from 1 species
UGCAAGUCGAGCGGGGGAAGGUAGCUUGCUACUGGACCUAGCGGCGGACGGGUGAGUAAUACUUAGGAAUCUGCCUAUUAGUGGGGGACAACGUUUCGAAAGGGACGCUAAUACCGCAUACGCCCUACGGGGGAAAGCAGGGGAUCUUCGGACCUUGCGCUAAUAGAUGAGCCUAAGUCGGAUUAGCUAGUUGGUGGGGUAAAGGCCUACCAAGGCGACGAUCUGUAGCGGGUCUGAGAGGAUGAUCCGCCACACUGGGACUGAGACACGGCCCAGACUCCUACGGGAGGCAGCAGUGGGGAAUAUUGGACAAUGGGGGGAACCCUGAUCCAGCCAUGCCGCGUGUGUGAAGAAGGCCUUAUGGUUGUAAAGCACUUUAAGCGAGGAGGAGGCUACUUUGGUUAAUACCUAAAGAUAGUGGACGUUACUCGCAGAAUAAGCACCGGCUAACUCUGUGCCAGCAGCCGCGGUAAUACAGAGGGUGCGAGCGUUAAUCGGAUUUACUGGGCGUAAAGCGUACGUAGGCGGCUUUUUAAGUCGGAUGUGAAAUCCCUGAGCUUAACUUAGGAAUUGCAUUCGAUACUGGGAAGCUAGAGUAUGGGAGAGGAUGGUAGAAUUCCAGGUGUAGCGGUGAAAUGCGUAGAGAUCUGGAGGAAUACCGAUGGCGAAGGCAGCCAUCUGGCCUAAUACUGACGCUGAGGUACGAAAGCAUGGGGAGCAAACAGGAUUAGAUACCCUGGUAGUCCAUGCCGUAAACGAUGUCUACUAGCCGUUGGGGCCUUUGAGGCUUUAGUGGCGCAGCUAACGCGAUAAGUAGACCGCCUGGGGAGUACGGUCGCAAGACUAAAACUCAAAUGAAUUGACGGGGGCCCGCACAAGCGGUGGAGCAUGUGGUUUAAUUCGAUGCAACGCGAAGAACCUUACCUGGUCUUGACAUAGUAAGAACUUUCCAGAGAUGGAUUGGUGCCUUCGGGAACUUACAUACAGGUGCUGCAUGGCUGUCGUCAGCUCGUGUCGUG